CCUACGGGUGACAGCAGUGAGGAAUAUUGGUCAAUGGGCGCGAGCCUGAACCAGCCAAGUAGCGUGAAGGAUGACUGCCCUACGGGUUGUAAACUUCUUUUAUAAAGGAAUAAAGUGAGGCACGUGUGCCCUUUUGUAUGUACUUUAUUAAUAAGGAUAGGCUAACUCAGUGCCAGCAGCCGCAGUCAUACGGAGGAUCCGAUCGUUAUCCGGAUUUAUUGUGUUUAAAGGGCGCGUAGAUGGGUUGUUACGUCAGUUGUGAAAGUUUGCGGCUCAAACGUAAAAUUGCAAUUGAUACUGGCAGUCUUGAGUACAGUUGAGGUAGGCGGAAUUCGUGGUGUAGCGGUGAAAUGCUUAGAUAUCACGAAGAACUCCGAUUGCGAAGGCAGCUUACUAAACUGCCACUGACAUUGAUGCUCGAAAGUGUGGGUAUCAAACAGGAUUAGAUACCCCUGUAGUC
rnacentral:rRNA from 1 species